rnacentral:rRNA from 1 species
CUGCAGGCUGCAACUCGCCUGCACGAAGUCGGAAUUGCUAGUAAUCGUAGGUCAGCAUACUACGGUGAAUACGUUCCCGGGCCUUGUACACACCGCCCGUCAAACCAUGAGAGUUGGCAACACCCGAAGUCGGUAGUCUAACCGCAAGGAGGACGCCGCCGAAGGUGGGGUUGAUGAUUAGGGUUAAGUCGUAACAAGGUAAC